UUCUUUUUAAAAAGGGGAAACACCUUUACUCAUUUGGGAGAGGGACACGGACCAUGUUCUGAGGAGCACGUGAGACCCAUGACUACUCUCUCAUAUUUGGUCAGAUUUAGAAAAGGGGAGAUCUUCUCCAUUCUGAGGGGGGAGAAAACGGAUAGGAGCUCAUAAGAAAAAGGGGGAAAGCUUUUGAAGAAACGAAGCAAAACGACCCUUCCCUUACGUCCAAAAACCAACUAAAAACCAUUAUUCUCCAUAACCCCAUCACCGACCAAGCAACGACGUGACCGUCGUCCACCCCGCCUCCCAGCUCGCUGGAGCAAGCAGUCUGCCCAUCUCCGUCAGCUUCACAUCCCAAACAACCACGCUGCCCAGCUCGUCCCUCACGUUGCUGCACCAGCUUCCUCCGUCGACUUCCACCAGUUCUGCUCUGACGAGCAGCUGCUGCUGCAUCUUCGUCCUCCAAACGACCACCCGUUCUUCUCCUCAUUGCCACUGAUCAUCCUCGCCAUAGCUGGCUGGAGUUUGAAAAAACAGUAACGAUUGGCGGAGGCCAAGCGAGGCAGUCCGGUAAAAAUUCGACGAGGUUCCGUCAAGGUUGCCUUUCGAAGUCUACGGCCGCGUUUUGUUGCUGGUACUGUCUUCGUUAAUCGGUUCAAUGGAUUUUUAAUAGUGAGGUCAGUUAUUAUACCUUAUCUCUCUGAUUUUACUACUCUCACUAUGUCCAUCCAUGGCUUGUUUGAAAUAAAUUUUUGUGGUCCUAUUUAAAAAUAUGGAUAUGAAAUUACAUGUGUUGAAUAUGAUAUUUGUUGUUGAGUAUUUGUUGUUGAAUAUGAUAUUUGUGAUUGAGUAUUUGUUGUUGAAUAUGAUAUUUGUUGUUAAUUUUACUACUCUCGUCAUAUAGUUUGGAAUGAUUCGGUGAUAAUACUCAAGUUGGUUUAAUUACUGUUGAAGCUUUGAGUAUAAGUCUAUUAUGUCUGGUGUUUUAAAUAAAUUGGCUUGGAGACAAAUAAUAUAGAAAAUUGUAGUCACUUUAGGAUUGUUCUUUUAAAAUAAACGAGAUGAGUCUCGCAACAUAAAAUGCACAGAUUGCGGGACCCUCAGAAAUGUAUAUAUUAAAAAUACUUAGACUUCGGGAUGAGCCGUUUAGCGAAUUGCAUGGUCUUCUCCAAAAUAAUAACGUGUUAUUCUUUAGGCGCAUAUUUAAUAAUGUUAUCUCUCUAAAUUCGGGUGCACAUUUAUGUAACCCAAGUCCAAAUCUCAACGAAGUUGGAGCGUGUCGUGAACCACGGGUGCCAUGGCUUGAGAUGUUUUAAAUAACCGUAAAUUUUCUCGAAAUGUUAAAAGCCAUUAAAAUAAUAACACCAUUUUUGCUUUAACUUUAACUUUUGCUUUAAUUUUAAGUUUUGCUUUAACUUUAACUUUAACUCUUCCUUUAACUUUUGCUUUAACUUUCAGUUUUACUUUAACUUUUGCUUUUGCAUUAACUUUCCAUUUAAGCUUUAGCUGUAACUUUCCCUUUUGGCUUUAACUUUAGUUUAAACAAAUGUACAACAUGUUUUAAAAUCGGAUAAAUAAGUCGAAUAUGACAGUUGUGCGACCGUGCUAGAACCAUAGAACUCGAGAAUGCCUAACACCUUCUCCCGGUUAGCAUAAUUCAUUAUCCGAGUUUCUAGUUCGCGGAUUGUAAUACAGAGUCAAUCUUUUUCGCGGACUGUAAUAUAGAGUCAAUCUUUUCCUUGAUUCUGGAUUUAACCGGUGACUUGGGAUACCAUAAAUCUGUAAAGUGGCGACUCUGACUUUAAUAAUAAUCCUGUUUCGAUUGUCCUUUAAUUGGAAAAACUCCCUUAACCUCUUCGCCCCAGCGGCGCGGGUAAAAAGGAGGUGUGACAAUGAAGACAAACAAUCUCCUGGAUAUAGAUCUCAGCUAACCUCUCGGAUGAAUAAGAGACUGUCACAUGAAUGAAAUGCACUGAUUUGUUCAGCCUAUAAAAAAUGACACAUACUGCAUCGAACUUCUUCCGAGUUUGUGGGGGUCCAACAACGAAAUCCAUAGUAACCCUCUCUUAAUUCCACUCGGUUAGCUCAAUCCUCUGAAAUAAACUACCAGGCCUCUGAUGCUCAUACUUAACCUGUUGAUAAUUCAAACACUGAGUCACAUAUGCAACAAUGUCCUUCUUCAUUCUACGCCACCAAUAAUGCUGCUACUAAUCUUGAUACAUCUUUGCGGUACCCAGAUGAAUAGAGUAGAGUACCGGGAACUGUGGGCCUCCUCUAAGAUCAACUCUCGGAGUCCAUCUACAUUAGGCACACAAACUCGACUCUGCAAUCUCAAAAGUCCAUCAUCAUCUAAGGUAACCUUCUUGGCACCUCCACGUCGCACCGUGUCUCUAAGGAUACACAAAUGGGGAUUAUCAUACUGUCGAUCACGUAUGCACUCCAAUAACGAAGAACAAGCGACUGUGCAAUCUAGCACACAGUUGGGCUCAGAGACAUCCAACCUCACAGACUGAUUGGCCAAAGCCUGAACAUCCAAAGCAAGUGGUCUCUCACUGAUCGGAGUAUAAGCAAGCUACCCAUAGUGGUUGACUUCCUACUCAAUGUAUCGACCACCACAUUAGCCUUUCCCUGAUGAUAUAAGAUAGUGAUAUCAUAAUCAUUCAACAACUCCAACCACCUCCUCUGUCUCAAAUUCAACUCAUUUUUCUGAAACAAAUAAUGAAGACUCUUGUGAUCCGUGUACACCUCACAUGCCACGCCAUACAGAUAUUGUCUCCAAAUCUUCAAUGCGUGAACAAUGGAUGCCAACUCUAAAUCAUGAACUGAGUAGUUCUUCUCAUGAAUAUUCAAUUGGCGCAAGGCAUAAGAAAUGACCUUGCCAUUCUGCAUCAACACUGCACCAAGUCCAAUAUGAGAUGCAUCACAAUAGACUAUAUAAGGCCCUGAACCUGUGGGCAAAACCAACACUGAUGAUAUAGUCAGAGCUGUCUUGAGCUUCUAAAUGCUCACCUCACAUCAUCUGACCAUCUGAACUGGGCGCCCUUCUGGGUCAGCAUGGCCAUCGGGGCUGCAAUGGAUGAAAACCCCUAUACGAACUGACGAUAGUAGCCUAUCAAUCCCAAGAAACUCUGAAGCUCUAUAGCUGAUGCUGGUUCGGGCCAGUUCUUGACUACAUCAAUCUUCUUGAGAUCAACCUGAAUACCCUCUGCGGAUACAACAUGACCUAGAAAUGCAACUGAACUCAACCAGAACUCACACUUCGAGAACUUAGAAUAUAACUGACUAUCCCUCAAAUUCCGAAGAACCACUCUGUGAUGUUGCUCGUGCUCCUCUAGCUGGGGGAGUAUAUCAAAAUAUCAUCAAUGAAGACUAUCACGAAUGAGUCCAAAUAAGUCAUGAACACUCGGUUCAACAAAUCCAUAAAAGUUGAUGGGGCAUUCAUCAACCCGAAUGACAUUACCAAGAACUCAUAAUGCUUGUACCGAGUGUGGAAAGUUGUCUUAGGAACAUCAGAUGCUCUAAUCCUCAGCUGAUGGUAGCCAGAUCUCAAAUCAAUCUUUGAAAAUACCUUGGCACCCUGAAGCUUUCAAACAGAUCAUCAGUCUUCAACAAUGGAUACUUAUUCUUGAUUGUAACUUUGUUCAACUGCCAAUAAUCAAUACACAUCCUCAUCGAUCCAUCUUUUUCCUUGACAAAUAACACUGGUGCACCCCAUGAAACGUUGAGUCUAGAGAAACCCAUCUUAAGAAAGUCUUGCAAUUGUUCCUUCAACUCUUUCAACUAAAGUUGGGCCAUACGAUAUAGUGGGAUAUAAAAGGGCUGAGUGCCUGAAGCCAAAUUAAUGCAAAAGUCAAUAUCCCUGUCGAAUAGCAUACCCGGUAGGUCUCAAGGGAAUACCUCAGGAAACUCACGAACAACGGGCACAGAAUCAAUAGAGGGAACUUCAACACUAGAAUCACGAACAUAUGCUAAAUAGGCCAAACACCCCUUCUCGACCAUACGUCAAUCCUUCACAUAAGAGAUAAAACUACAGGUAGAAUGACCAGGAGUCUCUCUCCACUCUAAACAAGGCAUAACCGGUAAAGCUAAGGUCACAUUCUUUCCAUGAGAGUCCAAGAUAGCGUGGUAAGGUGAUGAUCAGUCCAUCCCCAAUAUAACAUCAAAAUCAACCAUGUCUAGAAGCAAUAAAUCCACACAAGUCUCAAGAACCCCAAUCACCAGCAUACAAGAACAAUGGACUCGAUAUACCACAAUAGAAUUAAUCACCGGUGUAGACACGUAAAUGGGAACACUCAAUAAAUCACUAGGCAUAACCAGAUAUGGUGCAAAAUAAGAUAGCACAUACAAGUAGGUAUACCCUAGAUCAAAUAACAAUGAAGCAUCUCUAUCAGAAACCAGAAUAGUACAUGUGAUAAUCGCAUCUGAAGCCUCAGGCUGGGGCCUGGCUAGAAGAGCAUAACAUUGGGGUUGGGCCCCACCACCCUGGACUACUUCCCUGGGACGACCUGCACCUGGCUGGCCUCCAUCCCUACCGUCCUAAGAUCCACAUCUAAAUCCUCUACCUCCACUUCUUGCACCUCUACCCCUAUCUCUAGAUGGUUGGGUGGUUUGUGGAACAGCCGGUGCCUGAACCAUAUAGCGGGAGCCAUGCUGCUGCGACUUAGUACCUACUAACCUCGGACAAGUCCUCCUAAUAUGACUAUACUCACCACACUCAAAACAUCCACCUGAGUGUUGUGGCUGAGGAAAUUGAGACUGACCCUGGCGACCCGAAUGAACAUCCCGAAAACUCUGGAGCGGCGAUGCACUAAUGGGAGCUGGUAGUGCACUAUAGGAUUGCUGAUCAGAAUACUGUAUUUGCGGACCACAGCUACCUCAAGCACCGGGAGAAACAUAAAGAGCUGACUGAAAGAGCCUAGGAGGAUGUCCUCUACCAUAUAAAUCUCUGCCUCUAGACGAGGUACCACUGAAUCUACCCGAAUGACGGAGCCUCUUAUUCGACCCAUGACCACCUCCCUAUGACAGAACCAUCUCCACUCUCUUGGCCAUAUUGGCCUCCUCCUAAAAUGUAAUCUCACUCCCAUCAUCCCUAGCCAUAUAAAGAUGAAUCGGCUGAAUAAGACCAUUAAUAAAUCACCUGACCCUAUCUCUAUUGGUAGGAAGGAUGACAAGGGCAUGGCGAGCCAAGUCGAUGAAUCUGGUCUCAUACUGAGUAACAGUCAUGGAACCCCGCUGGAGACACUCAAACUGCCUCUGGUAGGCCUCUCUCUGAGUAAUGGGAAGAAAGGAUUCCAGAAACAACACUCUAAACUGCUCCCAAGUCAAUGAUGGUGAUACUGCUGGCCUAGACAAGCAACAAUCUCUUCACCAACUCUUGGCGGAUCCAGACAAGCGAAAUGUAGCAAAAUCGACCACAUUGGUCUCAACAAUACCCAUGUUACAGAGAACCUCGUGGAAGUUGUGUAGAUAAUCCUGGGGAUACUCAGUAGAUGCACUGCUGAAAGUAGAAGUGAAGAGCUCGGUGAACCUAUCCAACCUCCACAAAGCAUCGGCAGCAUAGCUACUCCAUCAUCGGUCAGAGCUACCACACCUGGCUGAACUAAUCAAACUAACAAAAUUGUUGGAGUCUGAAUCUAGGGAGCUACCUGCUCCGGAGUGUGAGUAGCAGCAGUCUGGGGCCCUUCUCCAGCCUAAGAGAUGGCUGGUGCUACAAGAAGCAAGCUUGCUCGGGUGACACUCUCCAUGAGGCCUACUAAUCGAACCACAGCAUCCUGAAGAACUAGGGUAGCAAUAAACCCUUAUGGGACCUGAGCUAGGCCCACAGGAACUGUUGGGGCCAGAACCUCCUCAUCAAAAUCAACCUAAGCCUCCGUUACUGAUACUGUUGCUCGGAGCUGAGCUCUGUCCCUACCUGGGCCUCGGCCUCGCCCUCUACCCCUCAUGGGAGCUGCUUCUGGGGGCUCGGGUAGCUGAGCGAUAGAUAAGGAAGCGCGUGUUCUCGCCAUCUGCGAAAGAACAGAGUAGAAAUUCAACUAGCAUUGAGAAACAAAACCGUACGACAGGAAGGGACAAAUGUGAAGUUUUCCUAACUCUGUAGCCUCUAGGUAUAAAUACAUAUGUCUUCUUACCAAUCCCUCAGACUCUACUGAGAUUGACCGUGAAUUGUGAGACCUAUGUAACCUAGAGCUCUGAUACCAACUUGUCACGAUCCGAAUUUUCCCACCUUCAGGAGUCGUGAUGGUGCGUAGUCAUAGAAUCUAGGCAAGCCACGAAAUUAGGAAUCUUUAACUCUUUUGUUUUAAUAUUUUUUACUACUUAUAUGUCAUGACCCAAACCGAUGGGCCACAGCAGGCAUCCGGUACCUUACUCGAUCGAGUACCAACAUAACGUAUCUUUCUUAUUAUAUACACGUGACAUACGGGCCUAAUAGGCCAACAUAAUUAUUUAUAAAUCCAAACUUAGGCCGACAAGGCCGUACAAUCGUUCACGUAUGCAAAAUAUGUCUACAAGCCUCUAAGAAUACAUAAAUGUCAUAAAGGUUGAGAUAGAUUCCCGCCAUACCAAACAAUACACGUCUACAUCAUACUAGUCAAACAAGCAACUGCGAAACAAAUGGAGCGCACCAACAUCUUCCACUGAGAUGAUAGCCUACUUGGAGGGCUCUCUACCUUUCUAUCGGGACUUGCGGGCAUGAAACGCAGUGUCCCUAGGUAAAAGGGACAUCAGUACAAAUAAUGUACUGAGUAUGCAAGGCACAUAAGUAAGUACAUAAGAGAUAUGGAAUAAAUAUAGAGUACAUUACUCAACCUGUAAUUAUGAAUAACUUUGUAAAUCAUAAAUUACUUAUAGCGUCAUGCAUAUGCGUAUGAAUGUCAUGUCGUCUAUAGGUACAUGUUUUAUAACAUCAUCAGCCUCUGAGGGCAUCCCAUCAUAUCAUAUCGGGCACUGUGGGCAAAAUCAUCAUCGUAUACCAGCUGAUCAGGUGGUGGUGCGUAUAUAACGCCAUAACUUUUCCCAUGUCACAUAUAAAUAUAUACCAGCUGAUCAGGUGGUGGUCGGUAUAUAACGUCAUACCCUUUUCCCAUAUCCCGUAUGUAUGUAUGUAUGUAUAUAUAUAUAUAUAUACGUGAAUAUAACUUCGUCUGAGUCAUGGGUCAAUGUACAUGUAUAAAUACAUGAAAUGCAUAUGAAAUACGAUAACAAAAUCUCUCGGUACAUCAUAAGACCAUUAUACCUCUAAUUAAUAUCAUAAAGUCAUUUUACGUAUUUUCUGAGACACAUGAACAUACGAUGACAUAAUAAGACAUAUGGAGAUUCAAGAACAUAGGUACUUCUAAUACUUCUAGGAAUAGAGUCAUUUAUGGAAUUUGUGCAUUUGCACAUUUCGUUCGCAUCGUAUGGAUCAUGCCAAAAGGAAGAAGGGAUAGCCUUAACAUACCUGAACCGAUUCUCCUAUCAAUCCCGUUAACACCCGUUGAUUGUGACAACACAUAAUGUCGGAUCGAAGUAGGGGAAAAUCCAUGAAAGCUUACAUUACUGAAUUCUCGAAAUUCAUGAAAUCGUACGUUACUGAAUUCUUGAAAGCUUACAUUAUUGAAUCAUUGAAAUUCACGUUUUUGAAGAAUAAAAUCUGAAAGCUCACUAAUUUAACCUCGCAUUUUUUGAAGAAUGAAAUCUGAGAGCUCACUAAUGUAACCUCACGUUUUUUUAAUGUUCUGAUUGUAAUAGUGGAAGACUUUGUAAGAAGUCUCCUUUUAGCUAAUGACUAAUUGCAGUUCUUUUGUAUUUACUUAUUACCGUGAGGUGUAUUAUGAAUAACACCUUAAAUUGACACCUAUAAAAAAAUGACUAAUGACUCAUCUAAGAUUAGCAAGGAGGCUGUCAUGUGCCUCAUUUGGGUGUGUGUUUUGAAUUUAUCCACUUAUUAGUUAACCAGGUAAUAUUUCGUUACCCGAUAAUUAAUAUAUUACCCGUAUAAUUCAAAAUUUAUCUCAAUUUAAUAAAAUACUACUAUCUUUUAACAAACUUUGUACACCUUACUAUCAUGGUCAAGUGGUACCUUAUAUGGUACUAGUCCAUAAAUAUCGGGUAUUUCUAACGACCCGACCAGUCGUUUUGAGCCUUUGUACUUUGGUUUCCAGUUCUCAGGCAUGACUUGUCCCAUGUUAUGCAUUAUGACAGAUGUGGAUUGUUGGUUUUGAUUUUCAGAAAAAUCGGAAUGAGUGUGAAAGAGUAGUCUUAGUUGAAAGCGUUGAAUUUGAAGUGUUGUACCAAGAGUUGACUUGUGUGUAUACGAGCUCGGAUCGGAGUUUCUAUAAUUUGGUUAGAUUCUUCGGGUGAUUUUGACUUACGGGCGUGAUCGGAAUUUGUUUUGCAGGUCCGGUAUGGAAUUUGGCUUGAAUUGGCAAAGUUAGUAUUUUUGCGAAUUUCGGUUGGUAGGCGAGCUUUUUAUCUGUGGGUCGGAAUGGAAUUCUGAGAAUUUCAAUAGCUUCUUUAUGUGAUUUUGGAUGUGUGUGCAAAAUUUUCAUUUAUUCGGAGGCCAUUUGGCUGGCCUUUUGAUCGAAUGUAUAUUUCGGAAGUUUUAGAAGAAACUUAGGCUUGAAUCUGAUUAGAAUUGAUGAUUUUAGUUUUUUUUUGAUGUGUUUUGAUGAUUGAGACAAGUUUGUAUGAUGUUUUAGGAUAUGUUGGUGCUUUUGGUUGAGGUCCCAGGGGCCUCGGGCUGAUUUCGGAUGGUCAAUCGGACCAAUUUCGGCCUUUGAGAGUUGCAGGUUUUUCCAGCUAUUUGUUGUAGAGAUUUUGUUCAAUGCGUUUGUGUUCAAGAGGUUGCGAUCGUAGAGGUUUAUCAGGUAAUGCAUCGCGAUCGCAUUGGUCCAUAUGCCAUUGCAUAGUAGAAAUUGGGGUCCAGCUGAGUUGCUCUCUGCGUUUGCAUUUGGGAGGCCGUGAUCGCAUUGUUCUGGGAAGUUACUCAUUAUGUUCGCAUGAGAUAGGCCGAAUUCGCAUAGACCAUUUUUGAGGUCGUGGAAUAUUGUGAUUCGUGAUCGCAAGUCUUGGGCCGCGAUCGCAUAGAAGGUUUUACUAUAGCUAGGUAGAAUAUUUUAAGUCAUCUUGUUCGCGUUUUUGGGUCUAUUUUAACCAAUGGCUGCCCGUUUUUGGAGAUUCUUGGAGGAAAUGAAAGAGGGAUUCAAGAGGAGUCGACUUGAGGUAAGAAUAUUGGUCUCAAUACUCUAUUAUAUUGUGAAAAUGGUCGAGAAAUUCAUGGAUAUUCUAAAUGGGAAGAACUAGGGCUUGGGAUUUUGAGAUUUUAUAUUGUGGAUUUGAUGGAUCAUUUCAACUCCAAUUUUGGUAUUCUUGAUAUGUAUGAACUCGGGACGAGAUGAGGAAUCUGAUUAUGUAAAAGUUUUUGAGUUUUCGAGAAGUGUUCCUUGGGCGUGGAUUUUGGUAAUUUUGGGCUUUGUGCCUGUUAUUGAUUAUUUUUUAUUGGGUUUUGUUCCCUUAGCAUAUUGUGAAAUAUUUGUUGUGAUUUUGGUUAGAUUCGACGCACGUGGAGGUCAGUUUGAGGGGCAAAGGCGUCCCGAGCUCGAGAUUUUGCCGGUUCGAGGUGAGUAAUGCUUAUAAAUGAUAUCCCGAUGAUUUGAAACUACGGACUGCACAUCGUAGUGCUAUAUUUAGGUGAGACACGUGCUCAAUGACGAGCGCAGGGUCAUUUACUAUUGGGAGAUUGCGACUUAGUCCAUCCCGAUUGAUAUUUACCGCGUAUUUGACAAAUACUUCUUGUUUUUUACUAUGACUUGGGGUUAUUUCCAUACUUGGGCUUCAUACCGACUAUUUGAAGUACUUUGUGAACUCUCAUCACUGUUUCCUCACUAAUUGAAAUAAUAUUUGAACCCAGUCCCACUUGAAUUACACUAUUUCAUGAAAUGAGCUAUACUUUUACUUAACUUGAAAUUUAAAUGAUAUUUGAACUGAUGUUUGAGCUGAGCACUAUUAUUUUACUGUUGCCCAAAGGGCUUAUGAUUAUUUUCUGGACUGAUUGAGACGGAGGGCCAUAUGUUAGGAUAUGUUAAGUGAUGUGAGGAGGCUUUUAGGCCUCGAGUGAUAUGUGAGGAGGCUUUCAGCCCUCGAGUGUAUUCUGAGAAGGCUCUCAGGCCUCAUGUUGAUAUGUACAGGCUUUCAGACCUUAUGAUGAUAUAGAGCUUGGGCUGUAGGAGCCCCUCCGGAGUCUGCACCCCCAUAGUGAGCGCGAGUACCCAUGUUCUUUGAAACGGUAGUAACAAUGACAGUGUUUAAUGCAAUUUGGUCAGGUAACAAUCACUGACCAGGAAUAACACCGUGCUAUCGGGUAACAUUGGCUGACCAAGAACUAAUUUGUGCCCGAGGGCUGGUACUAUUCUAUGUGAUUGCCCGAGGGGCGAUUUUAUGUGUUCAUUUUGCAUACUUACUUGUCUUUUACUUUGUAGUAUUUGUGCCCGAGGGGUGGAUUUCUAUGCAUAGCGGCACUAAUUGUUUUUGAAAUUAUUCUGCAACUAUUGAAAAGAUCAUUUUCAAAAGAGGUUUAAAACUGAGCCAAGAUUUGUUUUUCUAAAGAUUCCGCAGUUUCACUGAUUCUCCUCAGAGAGUUUUAUACUGCUUCUAUAUAGCAUGAUGGUUGGUUAUACAUGUUUUCUUACUGCUUAGUUAUUAUUUACCUUUAUUACUCACUGAGUUAGAGUACUCACUUUACUCCGUGCACCUCGUAUGUCGAGACAGGUAUUUGUUCACCUGGUAGCGGGUUUUGAGCUGAUUGAAGAUUUGCUAUCAUAGCUGAGCAAGGUGACCGCCAGCGCCCGCGGCACCAGAUUUUCUUUCUUUUGAUUCUAAAAUCCAUUCUGUAUACUACUGUCCUUGUAGAUGUAUUUAGACUCUUUUAGAUGCUCGUGACUUGUGACACCCCGGUUUGGGCUGUGUUUGGGUUGUACUUCCGCUAAAUAAUGUUAUUAAAUCAUCAUUAAAAUUGUUUAUUCCUGUU
rnacentral:lncRNA from 1 species